rnacentral:rRNA from 1 species
AGGGAAUCUUCCGCAAUGGACGAAAGUCUGACGGAGCAACGUCGCGUGAGUGAUGAAGGUUUUCGGAUCGUAAAGCUCUGUUGCCAGGGAAGAAUGUCCGUUAGAGUAACUGCUAACGGAGUGACGGUACCUGAGAAGAAAGCCCCGGCUAACUACGUGCCAGCAGCCGCGGUAAUACGUAGGGGGCAAGCGUUGUCCGGAAUUAUUGGGCGUAAAGCGCGCGCAGGCGGCUGUUUAAGUCUGGUGUUUAAUCCUGGGGCUCAACCCCGGGUCGCACUGGAAACUGGACGGCUUGAGUGCAGAAGAGGAGAGUGGAAUUCCACGUGUAGCGGUGAAAUGCGUAGAGAUGUGGAGGAACACCAGUGGCGAAGGCGACUCUCUGGGCUGUAACUGACGCUGAGGCGCGAAAGCGUGGGGAGCAAAC